GAUGAAGAACGUAGCGAAAUGCGAUAAGUAAUGUGAAUUGCAGAAUUCAGUGAAUCAUCGAAUCUUUGAACGCACAUUGCGCCCGUCAGUAUUAUGGCGGGCAUGCCUGUUCGAGCGUCAUUACGCCCCUCAAGUCCCCUGUGGACUUGGUGUUGGGGAUCGGCGAGGCUGGUUUUCCAGCACAGCCGUCCCUUAAAUUAAUUGGCGGUCUCGCCGUGGCCCUCCUCUGCGCAGUAGUAAAACACUCGCAACAGGAGCCCGGCGCGGUCCACUGCCGUAAAACCCCCCAACUUUUUAUAGUUGACCUCGAAUCAGGUAGGACUACCCGCUGAACUUAAGCAUAUCAAUAAGCGGAGGA
rnacentral:misc_RNA from 1 species